GGGCCCAUAGCUCAGCAUGGAUAGAGCAACGGCCUCCGGAGCCGUUGGCCCAGGGUUCAAAUCCCUGUGGGCCCG
rnacentral:tRNA from 1 species